GAAGGGUAGCGAAGAGGCUAAACGCGGCGGACUGUAAAUCCGCUCCUUCGGGUUCGGGGGUUCGAAUCCCUCCCCUUCCA
rnacentral:tRNA from 1 species